GAUGAAGAACGUAGCGAAAUGCGAUAAGUAGUGUGAAUUGCAGAAUUCAGUGAAUCAUCGAAUCUUUGAACGCACAUUGCGCCCUUUGGUAUUCCUUAGGGCAUGCCUGUUCGAGCGUCAUUUAAACCUUCAAGCUAAGCUUGGUGUUGGGUGACUGUCCGCUUCACGGCGGACUCGCCUCAAAAUUAUUGGCGGCCGGUACAUUGGCUUCGAGCGCAGCAGAAACGCGAACUCGGGCCCGUCGUAUUGGCUCCCAGAAGCUAUCUUCACAAUUUAGACCUCGGAUCAGGUAGGGAUACCCGCUGAACUUAAGCAUAUCAAUAAGCGGAGGA
rnacentral:misc_RNA from 1 species